rnacentral:tRNA from 1 species
UGGGGUAUCGCCAAGCGGUAAGGCACCGGUUUUUGAUACCGGCAUUCCCUGGUUCGAAUCCGCGUACCCCAGCCA